GGCUGUGCCACACAUCCUCAACUCUGCUUUUAGCUCAUUAACGUGAGUGGAGCUCCACGAAGCAGCAAAGUGAAAAGGAUGGAAAAAAGAGAGGAAAGAAAUGCCAAAAACUGGACGCAUCUUUUGUCUUGGCAGCGAUUCAGACCCGCCAAAACUGCCAGCCCAGCGAAGGAGCCGGACUAGUUACAGCGGUGAUGUCAGGGACUGAAGGCUGAGCUAUAGUCGCGGGUUGAGCGCGUUGUGGAGCCAAGGCGGCAGCAUGGCGUUUAUAGAAUGACCGGUGAUUGAACUACACCAUCUGGCCACCAGGCAGCGCUGGCGACACUCUUCAGUGCAGAAGCUGCUACUGGGAGAAGAAGACUCACUGUGUUUAGAAUAGAAGUCAGAGAAAUUCAGGCUGCCAGAGGGUGAGAGAGAGCAAGACUUCCAGCAGAUAACAGACACUCAAUAAGAAUUUCAGCCUCUGACGAGAAACGGAUGGAGAAACGCAGGAAGAGGUUUAAAGAUGGAGGUUUUAC